CAGCAAAGACCGCGCUCUCGGAGCGGCGCCAUUUGCAUUACGCUUUAGUUACGCGCGUUCAAGGGGGGGAUCCUGGAGAGCGCACAACACACACACACACACAUAAACCCCUCUCUCUCUCUCUCUCUCACACACACUCUCUCUCACUCACAUGUUCCGAGGGAGGAAGCUCCUGCCUCACAAUCCUUAUCCCAGACUUUGCUUCUCCCACACUCUCUGCGAGAUGAGGCCAUGUUUCAGACUGACAUUAGUUUUGUAUAUGGACAGUUCAUCUGGUUUAAGUGAGGUAAGUCUUCUACACAUGCACCGCAGAUGGCUUAAAUUUGGAUGAUUCACUGACGUAAGCCAUUCUGUGGUGACGAGUGCAGUAUGUCUGCUGAAACCAUAUGCUGUUCUAUCCCACAGCUAUUGCAUUUCAUUUCAUUCCUGGUAAGGAUCUUUUUCAGCUAGUCUAUUACCAGGCAAGAAUGAAUUUGAGUUUGCUCUGAACAAUAUGUGCUACACUUCAAUAAAAUGGAGCAAUGCAGCAAAUCCUUUGAAAAAUAACACGAGAAAGCUCCUUGUUGGUAAGUGCUCUGUGUGUCAGCUCUGCAGUUGUGACGGUAUUGGCAGAGGCUAUUCUAAUGCUCUACAUAUACUGCUGGAAGUGAUAUGUGUUUGAGGUAUUUAAAAGAAAACAGUUCUGUGGUUCUGUUCAUUAAAUCAAAACUCGAAAUGCGAUGCUGUUUUUUUUUCAGCUGAAAGAGCUGUUUGUGUGACAAACUCAUUAAUAACAUUUUAAAGAUGAGUGUCUCUUGAAAGUUCUAAACUUUUAAAGGAUCAGUUGGGAGUGAAGCACAAUUCUAUUGGUGCUCAUGUGUCCAUACUACCUGAAUCCCAAUUUAUACUGCACUUUUCAUGGUGCAUUGGAUGAGACUUGAUGCAGCAAAAAGCUUCUUGCCUGACUAUAAGGUGUAAUAGUUAAUAGUGGCGGUUAAUUGUCUCAUGCUGUUAAAUGUACAGGGAUAUCUCCUGGCAAUGGUGGCCUUUAUUUUGUGGUCAUAAGUCAUUUAUUUAGACCAAUAUUAUUUUUGUAACACUGGCCAGUUUACAGCCUCCUGACUUGUAAGGUUCUAUACAAAUGUAAUUUGUUGUUGUUCCCAGACAAGGGAGGAAUGUCCACAACUGGAAAGCAAGUCUUAAUCAGUGCGUCUGGGCAUCUGUGAGUUUGUGCGUGGAAUGUUUCCAAUUGCACCCUGGUGUUAUGGAGUCUGGCCCAACGUAUAAUUCACAGCAGGGCACUGUAGAGACUUUAUUUGAAGGAGCGCUGCAGUACCUACACUAAAUGUGCCGUCAAACAGAGUUCCUCAUGGGUAUAGAUCCACAGCACAAAGCUGCCUUAAUUCAACACAAAUUUGGCAAUCAAACGUGAGUGGCCACAGGAAUUCCUGGUGUGGGAAGUGGAAAAAUGCACUCUGUGUCAUACGAGUACUUUUAGGAUUAGUCACUUUGUUGGGGGUAGAAUAAAGGGAGCUUUGCUGUUUGGUGUACUUGCCUGACCUGGGAAUAACUUGAUACUGAUACAUAUUGAGUGGGGGAAAAAACCCUGGCUGAUAUGUCCUCUCUCCCCCCCCCCCCCCCCGAGAUACAAUUGACCAAUUGUAACUCUUCUUACUACAGUAAAACUCACAUAAGUCGUAUCGGUUGAGACCAUAACAUUUAAUAUGACUUACCCGAAGUCCAAGUUGUCUCCUGCGAUUCAAUGUUGGUAAGUGGGCACGCAGCUGGUAGGGCGGCAUGCCACGAGAGGUCAGGACGUCGAUUCAAGGCCUCCGGUAAGCGUGGGAAUAAUGGAAGGUAGGGGAGCGGUGUUAUGAGUUAGGAGAUGAGUAAUAUGAGUGGUGUAGAAAAUUCUAAGUGUUUUUGAUAAGAAACUGAAUGGGACUCGGGUGAAUAUACCAUUUAGGUGUUUCCGAUUUAUAAAUAUAAGACUUAUACAGUAUUUAUAUCAGUGAAAUGAGAGAUUCAGAGUACAUUUACCAACUGAGCCGUUGUCAAGCCAACUUCUCCUAAUUUGAACCAUAUAAAUCUGUAUUGCAUUUUCUUUUGAAAUCCCUAAUAAUUGAUUAACAUCUUUUUCUUCUAUUUCAGUCUCUUCCUUGAACUCUGGAGAAUGCUGUGGUUACUAGCUUGUUUUAGCACAGCAGCAUACAUGUGUGUGGCACAGAGAAGUAAUGUGUGAUGAUAGAGCUGUGUAAAUGAUUUUGUAUUAUCCUAAUACAAAAAGACUGAUGUGUCCCCCCUCCCCCCACCCGCCUGCCCCACCACAUACACAAAAAAACGGAACAACAAAUAUAUAUAAAAAGGGGCCACUAAUGCAGCAUCAAAUGGCAAACACUAACACUCUUAUAGAGAAGCCCCUUAUGUGAAAUUAGACAAGAAGAAUGAGACCAAGAAAAUUAACAUGAAGCAGUUGAAUAUUUUAAAUCACAAAUUGCGUUUGCGAAGUCUCAGCUAAUAUUAGCAGAUUAUGUCAUGCUGCAAAUGGAUGUUAAAGGGUACACGUGACAGAGAAAAUCUCAGACAGGAGGUGAUUUUGCGGCUGAGCGGUGAAGAUUGUCAGGACAGAAAGGUCAAAUUGAGAGGAGGCAUGGAAGUCAUCAACUAUCGGAAAAUAGAAUUAUAUUUAUAUCUGUAUUGCCUGUAUUUACUUCACCAAUGGCUGGUCUGCAACAACGAAUAGACGUGGACAGGUAUUUGAAAGACACAAUUUUGGCAAGGUUUCACUUAAUAUUUAUUGAAAACAAGCACCAAUUUAAGAAUAGUCCUGUUAUAUUCCAAAUCAAGAUUUUUUAGUAAUUAUUUUCAGAAUAGAUAUUUCUCCUGAUCAACACUGUUGAAGGUAUGUCUGUGUGUGUGUGUAUGUGUGUGUGUAUGUUAAAAAAAUAAAGUGUUUUAUAUUUUGACCUCAUCGCAAAUCAAUGUUUCAAUCGUUAUAAAUACAAUCUGCAUCAUUAUAGACAUAUACACACACCAACUGCAGUUUGCUUUUAAAACCUUAAUCUUUAAUUUCUUGAUGGUGCAAUCGUUUUAAUGUUUCUGAUGGGUAUGCAGUUCAAAAUUCCAAAACAAUUCAAAAAGUUAUUCCUUUUAAAAUUAAGUCAUAGCCCAAUUCUUAGUGAAGAUUCUAAAACGUGCAAUACAUUUCUACUGAAGAUGAUGAAUAUUGCUGGAUUCCAAAGCUGUUGACAGCCCUCUGAUACUUUGAACUGAGUGUCAGCAGGCUGUUUGAUUGUGAAGUGUAUCCUUGUCAAACCUGUUCUCACUCGAUAGCCACACGCAUGCACUUUUGAUAGCAAUCAGGAGCAGGAACAGUUGCUGAUUUAUUUUUUUUCCUUCCCUCUUGCCCAGAUGCACAAAGGGCAAUUGUACCAUCCCGACUACUUCCCUGCCUGAAAUCUAACUUAUGGUGUAAAUUCAGCAUUGUUUUGGUUUAUGGUGAAAGUUCCUUAGUUUAUUGCAGUGCAGAAUUACUCAAAAUGCUUAAACCAGUUGCAAAAUUAUAUGAAUCUUAACACCACUGAAAUUAGCCAUACUUGCGUCCAAGAAGAUUUACUGUUGCGUAAAUAAUUUAUAUUGAUCAGAAACUGACAAUGGUUAUUUAGUUAGACAAUAGUCACUCUUACCAGAUCACAUUUGUUGCUGUUCAUUUUCAGUUUGAUAAUAUUGUACCACCCUAGAGCUUGGUUUGAAUUAAUUUAUAAUUGAUAAUAAAUGAGGAGUUUGUGCACGAAUUGUCAACUCUUGUGCACUGGGUUAAGUGUAGGCUCUAAGCUACAUUUAUUAAUCCAUUUUUAAUGAUAAUCUGUCUGGAAAUUUUGCACUCGUAAUUUUGUAUACCUGUGUACUUUAGUUGCUUAAAAUUCUAAUGUCAGUUUUGCAAACCUAAUUGGGGGGAGGAUGUUGGGAGAUGUAUAAUUUCCUUAAGCUUUACUUAAUACUAACCCCUUUCUCUCUCUCUGUGUCACACACUCACACAACACUCUGGUUAUUUGACAAAUUAUCUCUUUUGUACCUGCUCUUCUCCCCUUCCAAAGUAAGAUCAGGUCUUAAGCCACUACCCAUGCAUUUAGAAACAUAAUGCCAACUGUUUCUGUAGCACUCUAUUUUCACUACUACAUUAAUUUGUUCAAUCUACUUCAAAGCAUAACAUUCCCUAACAGUUAUUGCUGUAGUUCCACAGCAUUUGUUAUUAUUAACAGCAUUUAUGUGUUUUAAAAAUGUGUUGCAUUGUUUAUCAAUAAAAUUGGCAGUGGAUAUUAGUAAAUUA